rnacentral:rRNA from 1 species
ACGAACGCUGGCGGCGUGGAUAAGACAUGCAAGUCGAACGAGAGAAUUGCUAGCUUGCUAAUAAUUCUCUAGUGGCGCACGGGUGAGUAACACGUGAGUAACCUGCCCCCGAGAGCGGGAUAGCCCUGGGAAACUGGGAUUAAUACCGCAUAGUAUCGAAAGAUUAAAGCAGCAAUGCGCUUGGGGAUGGGCUCGCGGCCUAUUAGUUAGUUGGUGAGGUAACGGCUCACCAAGGCGAUGACGGGUAGCCGGUCUGAGAGGAUGUCCGGCCACACUGGAACUGAGACACGGUCCAGACACCUACGGGUGGCAGCAGUCGAGAAUCAUUCACAAUAGGGGAAACCCUGAUGGUGUGACGCCGCGUGGGGGAAUGAAGGUCUUCGGAUUGUAAACCCCUGUCAUGUGGGAGCAAAUUAAAAAGAUAGUACCACAAGAGGAAGAGACGGCUAACUCUGUGCCAGCAGCCGCGGUAAUACAGAGGUCUCAAGCGUUGUUCGGAAUCACUGGGCGUAAAGCGUGCGUAGGCUGUUUCGUAAGUCGUGUGUGAAAGGCGCGGGCUCAACCCGCGGACGGCACAUGAUACUGCGAGACUAGAGUAAUGGAGGGGGAACCGGAAUUCUCGGUGUAGCAGUGAAAUGCGUAGAUAUCGAGAGGAACACUCGUGGCGAAGGCGGGUUCCUGGACAUUAACUGACGCUGAGGCACGAAGGCCAGGGGAGCGAAAGGGAUUAGAUACCCCUGUAGUCCUGGCAGUAAACGGUGCACGCUUGGUGUGCGGGGAAUCGACCCCCUGCGUGCCGGAGCUAACGCGUUAAGCGUACCGCCUGGGGAGUACGGUCGCAAGAUUAAAACUCAAAGAAAUUGACGGGGACCCGCACAAGCGGUGGAGUAUGUGGCUUAAUUCGAUGCAACGCGAAGAACCUUACCUGGGCUUGACAUGUAAUGAACAACAUGUGAAAGCAUGCGACUCUUCGGAGGCGUUACACAGGUGCUGCAUGGCCGUCGUCAGCUCGUGUCGUGAGAUGUUUGGUUAAGUCCAGCAACGAGCGCAACCCCUGUUGCCAGUUACCAGCACGUGAAGGUGGGGACUCUGGCGAGACUGCCCAGAUCAACUGGGAGGAAGGUGGGGACGACGUCAGGUCAGUAUGGCCCUUAUGCCCAGGGCUGCACACGUACUACAAUGCCCAGUACAGAGGGGGCCGAAGCCGCGAGGCGGAGGAAAUCCUGAAAACUGGGCCCAGUUCGGACUGUAGGCUGCAACCCGCCUACACGAAGCCGGAAUCGCUAGUAAUGGCGCAUCAGCUACGGCGCCGUGAAUACGUUCCCGGGUCUUGUACACACCGCCCGUCACAUCAUGGAAGCCGGUCGCACCCGAAGUAUCUGAAGCCAACCGCAAGGAGGCAGGGUCCUAAGGUGAGACUGGUAACUGGGAUG